AAAAUGGCCAAAAAACGGCCAUAAUUGAUAGGCAUAUGUAAGGUUAAUACGAUGUUGCAUAAAAAAGUGUGAUAUGAUGCUCUAGGCCCUUUCAUCCGAUCGGUCGUGGCAAAUAAUGCUUAGAAUUUUAUAUGUCAAACGCAUAUAAAAAAACUUGGUCUCUCAAAAAUACAAGACCUUGAUUAUUUGACUUCAAAGUAUCCGACUUCUCGUAGAAUUAUAAUCGCAUUUACAAUGAAAUUUUAUUUCACUUGUGUAUAGAUAAUAGUUAUCUUUCAUAUUUUUCAAGCAGUUCCUUAGGGAAAAAUGUAUGCUAUCACGAUAGUUUCCAGGUGUAGAUAUCAAAACUACUCUCAUACUCAUUCGUCAAUCCCAAUUAUUAGCAAUAGUUACCUUCCUUCAGUUUUACUUUUGUUCUUAGUAGUUUCGAUCGUCGCGCGUUUAUAAAUUAAGUAAGAUACGAAAAGUAGCACAUCGGCAUAAGCAUCAGUAAUAUAAACAAAAAAGUAAAGGAUUUAGAAAACAUCCAUCAGCAUGGAGCAGUGAGUUCUUUUCCUAAUCGAGAAAUAGCAAGUUGGGCCGUCAGAGAAAUAAUUAUAAAUCAAGAAAAGUUGAUAAAAGAUUGGUUUCAUCAAGCUAAAGUUGGAACAAUAAAAACGUUUUAUUUUAAUUGCAACAGGAUAAUUGGAUACGGACAAGUUAUUGAUGAAGGUAGCAAGCUCGAGUACUGGAGCAUGAUUUGUCUACGUCUAAAGAAGUCCGAAAGAUCGAAUUCUCCCAUGAUUUUGAAUGCAUAUCCAUGCAAAAAUGAUUCGAAGCAUUACCUUCUUAUUAAGGACUUUCCAUUGAGUUCUCAGAAGGAGGAUUUGGGUAAUGUUAAACGAGAGUUCAGUAAGAUUAGAGGUAUCAACUUGAGUAAAAUUUCGAUAAAAAGAUUUGAUAAAUGUACGAAGGCAAAUAGUCCACUAAUUGUUAAAGUUAGAUUCGGCUCUAUUAAAGAUGCCGAACAAGUUCUAAAUAACAAGCAUCUUCUAAAAGAUAUUAAAGUAGAGAAAUAUUAUCUAAAUGGAUUACAAUCUACUAGAAAUAACUAAGACAGUAAAGCUAAUAGAAAACGGAAAAAGUUAAGUGAGAAAUGUAAGGAUCUCCAUAUUCUCUUCUGCAAGAAAUACAAACAUUUAUUUCAAUAUAUUGCUGGCAAGGAACAUAGUAACAAUCGAAGCUCGAAUCUCAAGAGAGUUUUAAAUCGACAGUGCCAGUCAAAAAUGUUACAUUUUAUCCUGUGCAAUUUCCGUUUGUUUUCUAGCUAUUCAAUGUUAAAUAAGCUGUAUUGAUAAACCAAGCGAUAAUAACAUUUAAAAAUAAAGAAAAUUAAUAAUAAA